UAUGUACUCCCUCGGUCCGGAAAUAUUUGUCCUAAAAAUAGAUGUAUCUAGAUUUAUUUUAGUUAUAGAUACAUUCAUUUUGUACAUUUUUAGUACAAGUAUUUCCGGACGGAGGGAGUACACA
rfam:Hordeum vulgare subsp. vulgare, WGS project CAJW01000000 data, contig: morex_contig_132325